GCCCGGCUAGCUCAAUCGGUAGAGCGUGAGACUCUUAUCUACAAGGUUAGAAUCUCAAGUUGGGCU